UGGUCCUUGAGCAAGGUCACUUUACAUGCAAUGUCAACAGCGAAAUCCAUUUAACAUGGGCAAAACUAUAUUUACAUGUGACUCCGGAGGAUGAGAGAAAAAUUCUUGGUGGUACCCAAAUCCAGCAGCCAAAGAGGAAAGAAUAAUAACCAGCAAGAGCAACAAACUAGAAGGAAAAUAAACUUCAACUAAUAAUUGCAUGCUUAUUUAAAAGCAUCUCUAAGACUCCAAUAACCAAAGAGAAGAAAUGGGAAACCACAGACUGCAUGGAUGAAAAAAAAGGCAACAGUGACAGUUAAAUUAACUAAACUCAGAAAAAUAGGUGAAAAAAAGUGGUAAGAUGGAGCAGAGAGGAAGAAACGAGGGGAAAAUGAAUAAAAAUAAGAUAAUGGCAUUAAAAUGAGAACAAAAAGUGAUACGGAGAGAAAAAAACAAGAAAUUAAAAGGAAAAAAUGAGAUAAGAAGAGCUGUUUUUCCUUUAUUCCAAUGAUUCUGGGAUGCUGUGUUUCCAUAUUGUUUCUUUGUGCUUUUAAAUCUCUGGACAUCAUGCAAAAGUAUAUUUUUUAUUCUCCGCAUGUUUCUGGAGUUUUCUAUUCUUUUGAUAUCUAAUUUCAUUUCUUUAUGAUAUUAGGAGAUGGAGGACAUUAUCUUAAUUUUUUUGUAUUUGCUAUGACUUGUUUUGUGUCCUAGAUAUAUGAUCUACUGAACUGAUGGUUCUAUGUGCUGCUGAGUACAAUGUGUAUCUGCUAUUGUCAGAUAAAAUAUUCUGUACACAUCUGUUAAAUCUCUUCAUAUUGAGGAAAAGCAGAAUUUGAGGAACUCUGGUGAUAUUUGUCCAUAUGAUGUAGACAUAGGUGAACAUCCUGUAUUGAAGUCAAGCCCAUUAGGUAGAAUAGGUUUUUUUGUUUUCUUUUUUAAAUGACAUUUUGUGUACUGUCAUUCAGGCAUGAAUAUAUAUACUGUCAUUUAUCUUCUUAUUGGAUUGUUCCCUUUACCAAUAUUUAUUUUUUUGACCUCCAGACAAUUACUUCUUAAAGAAUAAAAUUUGAAAUAUGA